rnacentral:rRNA from 1 species
AUGUGGCUUCGCCUCAUUCAGCAGAAAUACCUCCGUGGCCAGCCUCUCGCCUUCUGCCAGUGGUCUGGGGGCUCCCAGUUCUGGCAAUCCAUCAUCCAGCUCCUCCCAGUCCUCUGGAUCGGUACCUCGAUCGUGGUGGGGUCUGGCACCACCAUGUUGUUCUGGUUCGAUAGAUGGACUUGAGACAUGCCCCUCGCGGCCCGCUUUCCUGACCUGUUCUCCAUCGCGGUUGAUCCGCGGAUUUCUGUCGCGACGGCCCUUAUUGACUUAGGGCAACUCGCGUUCCAGAGACCAUUUAGCCCGGCGGAGAACGUGGAUUGGCAGGAAUUGCUUGACUGCAUCGCGUUACACGAGCCUGAUCUCGCGAUUGGAGAUGACCGCUCCACAUGGCGUCUAGAGCGUUCUGGGCAAUUCUCCACUAAGUCUCUCUACCAGGCCAUCGCCCCAUCGCUAGGCCAUGAGGCGCUCACCACCAUCUGGGAAAUCCGCCUCCCCCUGAAAAUUAGGAUCUUCUUAUGGCAAUGGAUUAGCGGACGCCUCCCGUCCAGUGUGGAGGUCCUGAAACGCAAUGGCCCCGGUGAUGGGCGUUGCACGCUCUGCGGGCCUGAAGAGGUUUUGAACCAUAUCUUCUUCACCUGCGUGUCCGCACAGUUCCUCUGGAGCUGUUUCCGCGAAAUAGUGGGUGGAAGAUGGGACCACAACAACUUCCCCGCUCUCUUCGCCGAACUCCAGGCGCUACCACCCUCGGCUCGUCACAUUAGGUGGCUGAUCAUUGGGGUGCUUGCCUGGACACUGUGGACCGUUAGGAAUAAACUUGUGAUUCGGCGUAUCCCUCUUCGUCGUGCUACUGACGUUUUGUGCAAAUGGCCUGGUUACUUGCAGCUUUGGCGGCCGCUUAGCCGUCCCAGGGAGAGAGACGCCAUCACCUCCAUCAUCACCCAGCUUCGUGCGAUGGCUCUCUGGAUGGCUCCACCGCUUCCCCCACCACCACCGUAG